rnacentral:rRNA from 1 species
AGUGAACGCUGGCGGUAGGCCUAACACAUGCAAGUCGAACGGCAGCACAGUAAGAGCUUGCUCUUACGGGUGGCGAGUGGCGGACGGGUGAGGUAUACAUCGGAAUCUACUUUUUCGUGGGGGAUAACGUAGGGAAACUUACGCUAAUACCGCAUACGACCUACGGGUGAAAGCAGGGGAUCUUCGGACCUUGCGCGAUUGAAUGAGCCGAUGUCGGAUUAGCUAGUUGGCGGGGUAAAGGCCCACCAAGGCGACGAUCCGUAGCUGGUCUGAGAGGAUGAUCAGCCACACUGGAACUGAGACACGGUCCAGACUCCUACGGGAGGCAGCAGUGGGGAAUAUUGGACAAUGGGCGCAAGCCUGAUCCAGCCAUACCGCGUGGGUGAAGAAGGCCUUCGGGUUGUAAAGCCCUUUUGUUGGGAAAGAAAAGCAGCAGGUUAAUACCCCGCUGUUCUGACGGUACCCAAAGAAGAAGCACCGGCUAACUUCGUG